GAGACAUUUCCAUUCCUUAUAUGCAAAUGAACGGGGCGUGGUUAGCUCACAGGUCCAGAGACCCAGACCAAAGCAACAGCACCACACUGACUACUCGAGAAGAGGAAGAAAAUGGAGGAGAAGGACUAUAAGGCAAACUACUAAAUGAAAAUAACAACAUGGAAGACGUCGGUGGGCUCCAAGACUUAACUGGUUCUUAUCUGGUCUUCUCUGGUCUUAUCUGGUCCGCCCAAUGCUGCUCUUCUGAGAGCAACCGCUCUGACAGCUCUCUCUAGUCUCUACUGGGAAACAGCUAAAAGUCCUUCUGGAGGUAAGCAACGCUACACAAUUACACCCAGUCUGAGAGUAAAAUAUGUCUCGAAGGCUUUGCAUUUGAACUCCUAUGACUGGUUGCGGACUUGAAGGGAACGCCUUCCUGACAUCCAGGAAAAAGUUUUAUUGGACAGGCAGUAGAGAUCUACUGGAAACAGUGGAGAGGGAGGAGAUGAUAUGCAGCAUACGGCCCAGCUGGAUGGUUGCUGCUCCGUGUGGAACGUGUCCUAUCAGGUGUAACAUCUACCAAUGGUUGUACAUGACAGAGACCUCCUCCGCCUCUUUGCUGUCUUACUAGUCAAUCCUUCUGAUCAGGUCCUUUCCUAAAUAGUGAAAGGAUCAUGCCAGCCCACAUCAAACACCUGAUCAAGAGCUUGUGAACCUCACUGCUGCAGACACCUGUGUGAUAUUCCACUCUGACUGGAACCCUCAAAAUGACCUGCAGGCUCAAGCUCGGUGUCAUCGUUUUGGCCAGUCUAAGGCGGUGGAGGUGUACCGUCUGAUCACUAGAAACUAUGAGAGGGAAAUGCUGGAUAAAGCUAGUCUGAAGCUCGGGCUGGACCGUCCCGUCCUGCAGAGCAUGAGUGGCAACAACAACGGGCCGGUCCAGCAGUUCUCCAAGAAGGAGAUCGAGGACCUGCUGAGGAAAGGAGCCUACGCCGCCAUCAUGGACGAGAACGACGAAGGCAAUCGCUUCUGCUAGGAGGACAUCGACCAGAUCCUGCAGCGAAGAGCCACCAUCAACACCAUCACCAGUUUGCUUCAAGCAGUGGCUGCACGAGAAAGACGUGGAGGACCAAGAAAUGCUGGCCAGAUUGGCAAAGACCGGAAGAUACAUAACAGAGAAGAUAAUGGAUAUUAACAAGAAAAAU